UAUAUAUAUAUUAUUAAUAAGGGAAAACUUCAAAUACCGCCUGUGGUUUCGCUCUCUCUCACUUUAGUACACUGUAAUUUCAAGUGUAUCAAGUUAGUAUCAUGUGGUUUUAUUAUUUUUUUUUUAUUAUUCAUUUCGGGAUAUAUAAUUUAACAAAAUAUUAAACCACAGGAUGCUAAAAUAAAAAAGCGCGAAACUACAGGAUACUAACUUAAUAUACUCGAAAUUAAGCCUAACUUGAUACAUUUUAAACCACAGGUGCUAAAGCGAGAAAGUGCGGAACAAC
rnacentral:lncRNA from 1 species